GGAGGAGGCAAGCGUUGUCCGGAAUUAUUGGGCGUAAAGAGCGCGUAGGCUGUUUUUCAAGUCAUAUGUGAAAACCUCAGGCUUAACUUGAGGACUGCAUAUGAAACUGGAAAACUUGAGUGCAGUAGGGGAAAGUGGAAUUCCUGGUGUAGCGGUGAAAUGCGCAGAUAUCAGGAAGAACACCGGUAGCGAAGGCGGCUUUCCGGGCUGCUACUGACGCUGAGGCGCGAAAGCUAGGGGGGAGCAAACAGGAUUAGAUACCCUGGUAGUCCUAGCUGUAAACGAUGGACACUAGGUGUGGGAAGUUAUCGACGCUUUCCGUGCCGGAGCUAACGCAUUAAGUGUCCCCGCCUGGGGAGUACGGCCGCAAGGCUA
rnacentral:rRNA from 1 species